rnacentral:rRNA from 1 species
AGGACGAACGCUGGCGGCGUGCUUAACACAUGCAAGUCGAGCGACGCUCCUCCUUCGGGAGGAUGACGGAGCGGCGAACGGGUGAGUAACACGUGGGCAACCUGCCCCUAGCUCUGGGAUAACCCCGGGAAAUCGGGACUAAUACCGGAUAUGAAGUCGGACGGCAUCUUCUGACUUGGAAAGUUUUUCGGCUAGGGAUGGGCCCGCGGCCUAUCAGCUUGUUGGUGGGGUAACGGCCUACCAAGGCGACGACGGGUAGCCGGCCUGAGAGGGCGACCGGCCACACUGGGACUGAGACACGGCCCAGACUCCUACGGGAGGCAGCAGUGGGGAAUAUUGCACAAUGGGCGAAAGCCUGAUGCAGCGACGCCGCGUGAGGGAUGACUGCCUUCGGGUUGUAAACCUCUUUCAGCAGGGACGAAGCGAAAGUGACGGUACCUGCAGAAGAAGCACCGGCCAACGUACGUGCCAGCAGCCGC